CAAAAUCAAAACAGCCACGAAAAGUCCCGCGAUCCUCUGGGGCAGAGACGGCUCAUCCAGGCGAAAUCCAUGCAGCACCAGUCACUACGGAAACUACAGCUGAGAUCCAACCACAGCAGAUAACUCCACAGCACGAGGAUGAAGAUCUGCAGGAGUGUAAAAUGUGUUCUCUAAGGUUACAAGAAAUAGCACACCUGCAGGAAGAAAACCUAAUAUUAAAAAAAGAACUGUCCAAAAAGAAAUUAGACACCGAAUUUUUGAAAGAUAACAACUCUAAAGUUAAAUUCUACACAGGGCUGCCUUCUUUUGCUUUACUAAUGGGGGUGCUACAACAAAUCAGCCCGAGCUUGCCAGAUACUGACAGGAAAAUUUCCCAGUUUCAGAUGCUCUUGUUGACUCUCAUGCGUUUAAGACUCAACCUUCCAAUUGCACAUAUUGCACACCUCUUUGAUAUUAGCCGGACAACCACAUCGACUGUGUUUAGCAUUACUGUAAA